rnacentral:sRNA from 1 species
AGGGGUCAGGUGAUCAACAUGAGAUACCUAGAAUAUUUUGAGAAAAUACUUCAUUUUAUUAAAGACAGAAUUCUUGUUUAUCAUGGAGCUAAUAAUCCUAAAGGAUUGCUAGAAGUUCGGGAAGCCCUGGAAAAGGUACACAAAGUAGAAGACCUUCUUCCGAUUAUGAAGUUUAAUACUAAAACGAAGGAUGGGUUCACCGUGAACACAAAAGUUCCCAGCCUUAAAGACCAAGGGAAGGAAUAUGAUGGAUUCACAAUCACGAUUACAGGAGACAAAGUUGGCAAUAUAUUAUUUUCUGUGGAAACUCAAACCACGGAAGAAAGGACACAAUUAUAUCAUGCUGAAAUAGAUGCACUUUAUAAAGAUUUGACAGCAAAAGGAAAAGUAUUGAUUCUUUCAUCAGAAUUUGGGGAGGCUGAUGCUGUCUGCAACUUAAUCUUAUCCUUAGUUUAUUACUUUUAUAAUUUAAUGCCACUCUCUCGAGGAUCCAGGUAAGUAAUAUCCUGUCAUUAAAAUUAUUUUAAAUUGAGAAAUGUGUUCUUUUUUGCUUAUCCUUCCUGUUAUGGAUAUAGGUACAGAGUAUA